rnacentral:rRNA from 1 species
UGCCAGCAGCCGCGGUAAUACGGAGGGGGCAAGCGUUAUUCGGAAUUAUUGGGCGUAAAGGGCGUGUAGGCGGCUUCGUGUGUCUUCUGUGAAAGCCCUCGGCUCAACCGAGGAAUUGCAGGGGAAACUGCGGAGCUCGAGUCCGGGAGAGGAGAGCGGAAUUCCCAGUGUAGCGGUGAAAUGCGUAGAUAUUGGGAGGAACACCGGUGGCGAAGGCGGCUCUCUGGACCGGUACUGACGCUGAGACGCGAAAGCUAGGGGAGCGAACGGGAUUAGAUA